rnacentral:rRNA from 1 species
GUGCCAGCAGCCGCGGUAAGACAGAGGGGGCAAGCGUUGCUCGGAAUUACUGGGCGUAAAGGGCGCGUAGGCGGGACGGCAAGUCGGUCGUGAAAUCCCUCGGCUCAACUGAGGAACGUCGAUCGAUACUGCCGUUCUUGAGGGUUGCAGAGGAGACUGGAAUUCCCGGUGUAGCGGUGAAAUGUGUAGAGAUCGGGAGGAACACCGGUGGCGAAGGCGGGUCUCUGGGCAAUUCCUGACGCUGAGGCGCGAAAGCGUGGGGAGCAAACGGGAUUAGAUACCCCGGUAGUCCACGCUGUAAACGAUGACGACUAGGUGUGGGAGGGUCAGUUUCUUCCGUGCCGCAGCUAACGCAUUAAGUCGUCCGCCUGGGGAGUACGGCCGCAAGGUUGAAACUCAAAGGAAUUGACGG